rnacentral:tRNA from 1 species
CUUCAUUACUUUCCACAAAAGCAAGUUUUUGUAAACCCAAUUUGUAGUUG